UACGAAGGGGGCUAGCGUUGCUCGGAAUCACUGGGCGUAAAGCGCACGUAGGCGGCUUCUUAAGUCAGGGGUGAAAUCCUGGAGCUCAACUCCAGAACUGCCUUUGAUACUGGGAGGCUCGAGUCCGGAAGAGGUGAGUGGAACUGCGAGUGUAGAGGUGAAAUUCGUAGAUAUUCGCAAGAACACCAGUGGCGAAGGCGGACUCACUGGUCCGGUACUGACGCUGAGGUGCGAAAGCGUGGGGAGCAAACAGGG
rnacentral:rRNA from 1 species